rnacentral:tRNA from 1 species
ACCUGGCUGGCUCAGUUGGAAGAUCACGGGACUCUUGAUCCUGGGGUUGUGAGUUCGAGCCCCACAUUGGGUA